rnacentral:rRNA from 1 species
UACGAAGGGGGCUAGCGUUGUUCGGAAUUACUGGGCGUAAAGGGCGCGUAGGCGGUUUUGUAAGCCAGAUGUGAAAUCCCCGGGCUUAACCUGGGAAUGGCAUUUGGGACUGCAAGGCUCGAGUGCGGCAGAGGAGACUGGAAUUCCUGGUGUAGCAGUGAAAUGCGUAGAUAUCAGGAGGAACAUCAGUGGCGAAGGCGGCUACCUGGCCCAAUACUGACACUCAGGUGCGACAGCGUGGGGAGCAAACAGG